AUUGAACGCUGGCGGCAUGCCUUACACAUGCAAGUCGAACGGCAGCACGGGUGCUUGCACCUGGUGGCGAGUGGCGAACGGGUGAGUAAUACAUCGGAACAUGUCCUGUAGUGGGGGAUAGCCCGGCGAAAGCCGGAUUAAUACCGCAUACGAUCUACGGAUGAAAGCGGGGGACCUUCGGGCCUCGCGCUAUAGGGUUGGCCGAUGGCUGAUUAGCUAGUUGGUGGGGUAAAGGCCUACCAAGGCGCCGAUCAGUAGCUGGUCUGAGAGGACGACCGGCCACACUGGGACUGAGACACGGCCCAGACGCCUACGGGAGGCAGCAGUGGGGAAUUGUGGACAAUGGGCGAAAGCCUGAUCCAGCAAUGCCGCGUGUGUGAAGAAGGCCUUCGGGUUGUAAAGCACUUUUGUCCGGAAAGAAAUCCUUGGCCCUAAUACGGUCGGGGGAUGACGGUACCGGAAGAAUAAGCACCGGCUAACUACGUG
rnacentral:rRNA from 1 species